CAGGUUUGUUUACUUUGUAAUGCGCCUUGAGGUAACCGAAAUGUGGGGAAAACAAGGACUGGCACCCAUGUUGAAAGAGCAUCAGCCUGCAAAGGAUGAUAGAAUAAUGUAAUCAUUAUUCUUCCGUUACACUUUCAUCGGAAUCGGACUCAUCAAGGAUGGAUGCGUCACACAAUGAGUUACCCCAAUCCUGAAUUCCGUAAGUCUGGCACUCUUGAUGUCUGGAGAAGCCCAAGUACCAAAGCACAGCUGCAACGUGAGAGCAAACGCCAACUACCCGUGCCCCGGCACGACACUUGCAGUAGGUGGCCACAAUGUUUGAGGGUGUGAAUUCUAUCCAUAAGGUGUACUUCCUUGAGGACACAUGACGUGACUGGAGCUUCACUUGGAUCAAGCCAGGGUCUUCCCGGUUGAUGUAAAUAUCAGCUUCCCCAUCAAUGUGUUCUUUUAUAUAGGAUGGACUCAGUCUGAGCUGGUACGUUCCACAAGUUAUGUUGGACAAGUCUUCUUCAUCUAGUCUUGGGAAGUCAUCCAAAGAAUCAUCAUCGACCGAUUUCCAAAUAACCUUACGCUUGUCCAGUCCAUUAUCAACAACCCUCUCCUGGAGUUUGUUCACUUGAUGAGAAAGAUUCAGUAUGCUCACCUUUGAAACAAGUCUUGAAGAAUUUGCAUCCGCACUAGAGAGCUGUUUCUCACCCCUCUUCAGGAACGAUGGCAUCUGUGCUCUAAUACCAAGGUCUUCGAGAAGAUCUAGGGAAUCCCUGAAGCCUCGAUCAACCACAAACACAUCAUUCUCCUGGACCCAGUCCCUAAUGCUGUCAACAUUUUUCUUUAGUGCAUGAUUUAGGAUGGCGGCAUCAUUAUUUUUGGAAUCCGAAUAGUAUGGGCCCAUGAUGCUCAAAAAGUACCCUGAGGUAGAACAAAUAACCAUCGGUUUCACUAGUGGCCGUCCUUUAUGCAGACUGUAAGUCCUCCUUUGAAAUUUGAAAUUAUCACUCUUCUGGAUAUAAAUGUAUGUGCCAUCAAUUACCAGGAUUGCUCGGGAUUCUUCCUGGUCACCAAACAGGAAUUUAGCCAGAGGACGGGUGUGUUCUGUUAUGAUUCUCUCCCUUGUCACAUGCUCAAAGCCUAGGUAUUGUGGGACGAAGGAAUUGAGAAGGGCAAUCCGAACUGAUGAAAUGGCACGUCGUAGACAGGACUUGGAAAUAUUAAAAAUGGUUGCCAUCAGCUUGUUGGAGAGUCCUGAUUUCAUUUUCAUCAAGAAAAUACCAACAGAUGUUCUCAAGCUCCUUGCUGGGGUUUUCCUAACCUGCUCAGCAUGUUGACAUAUUUCCCUAAAAUCAGAUUUUUUGUGUCCUGUCAAAGUUACAUAAUCAUCGUCAGUCAUUUCAUCCUCAUUGUCAAAGUCGAUUCUUGUUUUGGAAUAUGUUAUUGCAGUAGUGCGUAAUUUGCCAAUCAAUUUCUCGAGAUCUUCAGAAUUUAAAAGAACAGACGUUGAUGGCUGCAAAUUGAAGUUUCCAACAAUUUUGUCGUUCUGCACAUGGUUUGGACAACACCUGCACCCUGCCGGUAGUAGUACAUUGUGAUCAAGAAAAAAUCGAAAUCGUAUUCCAGCUGGCACGGUAAUCAACUUAGGACCAGGGCGCUUACAUAAAGUGCAGUAAGAGUGUGAUCUUACAGUGCAUUGGAUAUUGAGCCUUAUUUGUGAUGGAAGAGAUGUAGUGGAACUAUCAGCUUUCUUAGCUUCCUUAACUGUGCACUGUAUUUUCUCAACAUGACUGCAAGACUUGGUUCUGUGAAAUGUGCAUACACAUUUAUUGCAAAUUGUGUCACCAAUUUUUGACUCAAGCAUGAAAUUUUUUCUCAAGUAUUUCUGUACAUCUUUCCGUACAUGCCUCCGAUUUUUUGGUUUAGUUCUAAUUCCACACAAAACGCAGUUGAAAUACUUUGGACCAAAUCCUGGCAUACUGUAAAUAUUAAAUUAAUUUGAGACUUUAAUGAGAAAUGUUUAAUAAAUUAUU